rnacentral:rRNA from 1 species
AUUGAACGAUGGCGGCAGGCCUAAUACAUGCAAGUCGAACGAGUGGCGGACGGGUGAGUAAUGUUUGGGAAACUGCCCGAUGGAGGGGGAUAACUACUGGAAACGGUAGCUAAUACCGCAUACCAUCGGAUGUGCCCAGAUGGGAUUAGCUCGUGGGUGGGGUAAAGGCUCACCUAGGCGACGAUCCCUAGCUUGUAUGAGAGGAUGACCAGCCACACUGGAACUGAGACACGGUCCAGACUCCUACGGGAGGCAGCAGUGGGGAAUAUUGCACAGUGGGCGCAAGCCUGAUGCAGCCAUGGCGCGUGUAUGAAGAAGGCCUUCGGGUGGUGAAGUACUUUCAGCGGGGAGGCGUUACCCGCAGAAGAAGCACCGGCUAACUCCGUGCCAGCGGCCGCGGUAAUUC